rnacentral:lncRNA from 1 species
GAUUAUUGCUUCAUGAUAAUCGAUUAUUGUAGUUCAAAAACAUAUGAUAAUCGAUUAUAGCUAGUCCAUAAUCGAUUAUACCAAUAUAAAUUACAAUGUUAAUCAUUUACCUACUACAUUCAAAAACUAUAAGUUGCUUUUUAAGUAUUCUCCUAUUACAAACAAGAAUUACAAUUUGCAGCAUCAUCAAAACUUGUCUUCAGGUUUUACCAAUACUCCCUUAUUGGUAACAAUCUCCCCCUUUUUGAUGAUGAUCAAAAAUCCUCUUUUAAAAGCAACUCAGUUUUACCUGCAACACAUACAAACUAAAAACAACCACAGAGUUAGCAGUACCUGUACAUUUGAAAAAUAUUUCUCCCCUUAAUUAUUCUUCUUUAUAAUUCUUCUCCCCCUUUUUGAUCAUAAGCAAAAAUAUUAAAUUAAAAAGCUCCCCCUAAAUAUGAUCUCCCCCUAAAUAUGAUCUCCCCCUCAAUUAAACGAUGUAUGCAUAAAACAAGAGAUCAUGUUAUUCAUAAAAGAAAGGAUUGCAUAGACGCCAUAAGGAGAAACAUAAAAGACAAAAAUAUAACAUAGAGAUAAGAAUAACAACCAAUCAACAAAGCACUCAGACAAAAAAAUCCUAAUUCUAAAAUUCAGGACUUGGGAUCUCUCGGGUGAUUGAAGGUUUAGAUGAUUUUCAAUAUUUCCUAGAUGAACAUCAAUGUUAAGAAAUUGAGCAACCAUAUAAUCUUCAUGAGCUUGCUACCACUAAUAAAUUUCAUCAAAGUUAGCUUUCUCGACAAGACUCUUACCCUCCAAUUAUUACAAAAGUUCUCAAUCAAAAGUUUCACCCCCUCUUUACAAAAAAACAUCUAAACUUAAAAGAAUUUAAGUUCUUUUAAUUUAUUAAAAUUACUCCCCCU